rnacentral:rRNA from 1 species
UACGUAGGGUGCAAGCGUUGUCCGGAAUCAUUGGGCGUAAAGCGCGCGUAGGUGGCUUCGUAAGUCCGUUGUGAAAGUCAAAGGCUCAACCUUUGAAUGCCGAUGGAUACUGCGAAGCUAGAGUACGGAAGAGGCGAGUGGAAUUCCUGGUGUAGCGGUGGAAUGCGCAGAUAUCAGGAGGAACACCGAUGGCGAAGGCAGCUCGCUGGAACGUAACUGACGCUGAGACGCGAAAGCGUGGGGAGCAAACAGG